rnacentral:rRNA from 1 species
CCUACGGGGGGCUGCAGUGGGGAAUAUUGGACAAUGGGCGAAAGCCUGAUCCAGCCAUGCUGCGUGUGUGAAGAAGGCCUUCGGGUUGUAAAGCACUUUCAGUGGGGAAGAAAGCCUUGGGGCUAAUACCCUCGAGGAAGGACAUCACCCACAGAAGAAGCACCGGCUAACUCCGUGCCAGCAGCCGCGGUAAUACGGAGGGUGCGAGCGUUAAUCGGAAUUACUGGGCGUAAAGCGCGCGUAGGCGGUCUGAUAAGCCGGUUGUGAAAGCCCCGGGCUCAACCUGGGAACGGCAUCCGGAACUGUCAGGCUAGAGUGCAGGAGAGGAAGGUAGAAUUCCCGGUGUAGCGGUGAAAUGCGUAGAGAUCGGGAGGAAUACCAGUGGCGAAGGCGGCCUUCUGGACUGACACUGACGCUGAGGUGCGAAAGCGUGGGUAGCAAACAGGAUUAGAUACCCUAGUAGUC